GAUGAACGCUGGCGGCGUGCCUAAUACAUGCAAGUCGAGCGAACAGACGAGGAGCUUGCUCCUCUGACGUUAGCGGCGGACGGGUGAGUAACACGUGGAUAACCUACCUAUAAGACUGGGAUAACUUCGGGAAACCGGAGCUAAUACCGGAUAAUAUAUUGAACCGCAUGGUUCAAUAGUGAAAGACGGUUUUGCUGUCACUUAUAGAUGGAUCCGCGCCGCAUUAGCUAGUUGGUAAGGUAACGGCUUACCAAGGCAACGAUGCGUAGCCGACCUGAGAGGGGGAUCGGCCACACUGGAACGGAGACACGGUCCAGACUCCAACGGGAGGAAGCAGAGGGGAAUCUUCCGCAAUGGGCGAAAGCCUGACGAAGCAACGCCGCGUGAGUGAGGAAGGUCUUCGAAUCGUAAAACCCUGUUAUUAGGGAAGAACAAAUGUGUAAGUAACUAUGCACGUCUUGACGGUACCUAAUCAGAAAGCCACGGCUAACUACGU
rnacentral:rRNA from 1 species